GUGAACGCUGGCGGUAGGCCUAACACAUGCAAGUCGAACGGCAGCACAGUAAGAGCUUGCUCUUACGGGUGGCGAGUGGCGGACGGGUGAGGAAUACAUCGGAAUCUACUUUUUCGUGGGGGAUAACGUAGGGAAACUUACGCUCAUACCGCAUACGACCUACGGGUGAAAGCAGGGGAUCUUCGGACCUUGCGCGAUUGAAUGAGCCGAUGUCGGAUUAGCUAGUUGGCGGGGUAAAGGCCCACCACGGCGACGAUCCGUAGCUGGUCUGAGAGGAUGAUCAGCCGCACUGGAACUGAGACACGGUCCAGACUCCUACGGGAGGCAGCAGUGGGGAAUAUUGGACAGUGGGCGCAAGCCUGAUCCAGCCAUACCGCGUGUGUGAAGAAGGCCUUCGGGUUGUAAAGCCCUUUUGUUGGGAAAGAAAAGCAGCAGGUUAAUACCCCGCUGUUCUGACGGUACCCAAAGAAUAAGCACCGGCUAACUUCGUG
rnacentral:rRNA from 1 species